CUUCACUGAUGACCUCUUGUGCCAGUGUGUCUGGGUCAUAGAAGCCCUGUAAUGGACCUCUUAAGGAUUAGAUUAAG
rnacentral:snoRNA from 1 species